rnacentral:misc_RNA from 1 species
GAAUUAGGCUGACCUAUUGCAACUGGAACACCUCAGCCAUUUUGCCGUGAAGCCAUUUGGCUCUUGGCUGUAUUCUGAUUUCAUUUUUUUCAUUUGACACUAAAAUUCUGCAUUGCUCGUUGAGGUAAGUUACCCUAUGUAUAAGAUGAUAAAGGGCGAUAUUUAGAGUUAGGCAGUCUACAUAAGAGACAACAAGGAAGUUCAACCUCCACCCUAGAUAACACAUCAAAUCUCAAGUUUCCUUUUUCUUUCCUUCAUUUGAUCAUGACCAAAC